rfam:Daucus carota subsp. sativus cultivar DH1 chromosome 3, whole genome shotgun sequence.
GUUUUGAUUUAUUUUCAAAUUAGGAUUUUGAAACCAUGUAGAAACAUC